CUACCACUUCAGCCGGCUCUGCGGGCCAGAAUCACCGCCACCCCCCUACUCUCGGCUGUCUCCUCGUGACGAGUACAAGCCACUGGAUCUAUCUGAUUCCACAUUGUCUUACACUGAAACGGAGGCCACCAACUCCCUCAUCACGGCUCCAGGUGAAUUCUCAGCCUCCUGUGCCACUGCCACAAAGGCCCGGAGGCCUGAUCAGACCUUCCCACCACUUUCAGGAUUUGAGAUCUGCAAAAGGUGAUGAGGCUGAGUGGUCCUGUAAAACAGUGUGCGCAGGGUGGGAGUGUCCAUCCCGGUGCCCACCUCAGUACCAGCAGCCUCGUCCCCUGCCCUGCCCGUGUAUCAUCCCAGCUGCGGGAUCUGGGCAGAGUUGGGCCUUCUGUGAGUCAGCCAUCUCCAGGGGGCCCCAGGGGCUCCUCCCUGUUCCCAGAUCCCUCAGUACAGCCCCCCAGGCACCGUCUCUCCACCUCUGCCCUCUUCUUGCCUCGGCUCCCUGGGGAGGCCUCCGACCUGCACCAGGGCCAGGCAGGCGUGACCAGGGUGGCCUCGGCGUGCCUGCUCCCCUCCCAAAUCUCUAGGUGGCCUUUUUAAGGGUCCUGGCUUGUGGGCCUGGAACAUCAGGGGUCACUCAGCUCAAGAUUUCAUUGCACAGAUGGGGUGGCCGAGGCUCUGAGAAGGGGAGGGACUUGCAUAAGGGCACACUGUAUUAGGGGCUGGGCCAGAGCUCCUGGUGAUCCCUGGUGAGGAGUGACCGUGGUGGACCCUGUGGCCCUCCGCCACGCCGGGAUGGCUGGCGGAAUCCUUUAUGUGCUCCCUGCCUUACACAGCUCGGGCCCCUGACCCCAAAGAGCCUCACGAACUUGAGCUGGAAACUUAGAAUCUUUUUCUCCUCUUGCUGCAAGGGCUUCAUUACUCCGUCGGAGAUUUGUGGGGACAGGGCCUUGCUGGGGGAAAGCGCACCAGCCGGGUGACGCUGGGCCUCCGUUCCCUCGCCCAGCUUCCUGGCACUGCCCGCCUUCCCCAUCGGAGGGCGCUAAUGGCAGCUUGUGGGAUGCUCUGGAGUUUCAAGCUCUGGGGUCAAAUGUCAGCCCCGCCACACUCACCGUGGGUGGUCAUGAGCUCAUUUGUCCUCCUCUGUAAAAGCAGGGGUGAUGGUAGCCCUACCUCAGGGGGCUGAGUUAAUAACACACAGGGAGGAGAUGCCCCAUGAAUGGGUGAUAUUGUUAUCUGGUCCUCAGAGACAAGGGAAUGUCUUUCAUCCCUCCUGUCUCCCCAUCUGACUCUCUCGUGUUCUCCGGACUCGCUCAGUCACUCUUACUGAGUGGCUUCUUGCUCAUGCGCUCCUUAAAUUAAGGCAGGAAUCAAGCUCAAACUCAAACUUGCAAAAGGGUCAGAGUUUGCUGGGGGCUUCAGGUGACACUGACUGUGGAGUAGGUGGGUCCUCGCUGCGCUGCUGGGAGACUUGGCUGCAGUUUGCACAAAGCAGGGGUUCACACCCACUUCUUCCCUGAAUCUCCCACCGGCACACGAGCAUGCGCAGAUCACCCAGAUCCCUGGAGUGAUGUACAGCUGAUGGUACCUGGUAGGAGUACCAGUAGGAGCUGGUGGGAGCUCAGUAAAUGCAUGUGCCUAUUUUAUUUUCUGUCCUUCAGCGAUGAGGUGACCAGGUGGGUGUCUUCCAUGCUGGGCAUUAUAGUAAGUGCCUACUAGCUGUUCAGCGCAGCACUGGGCAUUUUACAGAGUGUUCUUAUAACCUGUAAUCCUUAAAACAAUUUUGGGUGGAGAGGGUAUAGUUAAUUAUAAUCCCCAUUUUACAGGUAGGUUCACUGAGGCUCAGAGAAAAGGUACAUGUCAACUUAAGGUAACAAUACAGGGGUUAAAAGUUAAUCUGAGACAACAGUGCAGAGGACAAGAUGGGGCCCUGUGGCUUCCUGCAGAGGUAGCAGUGGG